AUUAUUAUUUAGCCCAAUCCCUCAAGGAUUGAGUAACUAUGCGACGAUAGGCUAGGUGAUAGAGUUUGCGACGUAGCAUGUGUCUUCCGGUUGACAUUUCAAAGCUUAUGCCUUGCUGAAGCAAUUUAAUAUCCUGAUGGAUGGGCUCGAUCUUCCACUGACCAGUACUUUGCCUCGGAAUAGUGGAUACCAUUUUCGGUUGGAACAAUGCAGUUGAGUUAAUUGGAUCCGAAUGUGCUUUAGCUUGAGUAAGAUCAUUCGAGCUAGGAGUAGCUGGUUGUGUAGUUUUGAAUGACCUUGGUAAUAUGUGGCAAUGUAUGUUGGAGCAGGAGUAAACCCAACAAUUGCUACUGCUUCCCCAAAAGUAUGUGUUGUGUUGGAGUGAAUGAAGACCAGUAUGUUAGAGAAGGGUGAACUGUUGGGGCAAAGUUGAGUUUCCAGUUCAGGUUGUUCGAUUUGGCCGGUUUAAAUGUAGGGAUUUGGCUUGUCCGAUCGUAAGAGGACUUGGUACCGUUGCGAACAACAUUGUACACUUUGGAGCAGUGCCAUACGAUUAGCAGUCUGAUUGUUGAAACAAACUCAGUUGCGAUGCUUCCAUAGUUGCCAAAGAAUUAGGAUCCAUUCAUUGUACAUGUUUGGUGGAAACGGUCAGAUUUUAAGAACUGUUGAACCCACUGAAGGAUCUAUUCUCGUAUAUCCGCUUUUCCCAAGUAUUCCGACCGGAUGGAGUAUUGAGA
rnacentral:lncRNA from 1 species